rnacentral:ncRNA from 1 species
CACCGCUCUUCGCUAAUACCGAUUAAAUCGUUUAGUGAGAUCGUUGGAUUGGUGUUGUUGUAGUGGCUUUUCCGCUCAACUGAUGCUAAGAAGAUGACCUGAUUUGACUACUUAGAGAAAGUAAAAGUCAUAACAAGGUUUCCGUACGUGAACCUGAGGAAG